GGGGAUUUAGCUCAGUGGAAGAGCAUUUGUCUGGCAAGCACAAGGCCCUGAGUUCAGUCCUCA
rnacentral:tRNA from 1 species